rnacentral:rRNA from 1 species
AUUGAACGCUGGCGGAAUGCUUUACUCAUGCAAGUCGAACGGCAGCACGGACUUCGGUCUGGUGGCGAGUGGCGAACGGGUGAGUAAUAUAUCGGAACGUAUCCAAUAAUGGGGGAUAACUAAUCGAAAGGUUGGCUAAUACCGCAUACGUCCUACGGGAGAAAGCUAGGGACCUUCGGGCCUGGCGUUAAUGGAGCGGCCGAUAUCGGAUUAGCUAGAUGGUGAGGUAAAGGCUCACCAAGGCGACGAUCCGUAGCCGGUCUGAGAGGACGACCAGCCACACUGGAACUGAGACACGGUCCAGACUCCUACGGGAGGCAGAAGUGGGGAAUUUUGGACAAUGGGCGAAAGCCUGAUCCAGCCAUUCCGCGUGAGUGAAGAAGGCCUUCGGGUUGUAAAGCUCUUUCGCAAGAGAAGAAAACUUACCCUCUAACAUAGGGUGAGGUUGACGGUAUCUUGAUAAGAAGCACCGGCUAACUACGUGCCAGCCGCCGCCGUAA